rnacentral:lncRNA from 1 species
UUUUUUUUUCAAGGUCGGUUGAGGAGUAGUUUAUCUCGCGUUACUAGGCAGCGGUAACGGCGCUGGUUUGUUAACGUUAUCUCUGAAUAUUGAGAGAAAUGUCUCGCGCAGAUAAAUGCUGAUUUGGGCACAAGCGCCAAACAUCGUGACAAGUUAGCUGGUUAUAAUAAUACUUAGUUAGCUUAGCUUAAACCACAACAGCCUUGACUUUCUACAAUUUCUGUAUUGUAAAGAAAGCUAUCCUCGCCACCAUGGCCUCCUCAAGUGACAUUCGAGAAAAGCUGCGGAAGAAACGACGUGCUUUGCGAGAGAGUUUGGUAAAAAACAAAAAUGAGGACGAUAUUCAGGCUCUGGUUCCGUCUGCCACAUUGAGUGAGGAGAGUCUGCAAACUGAAAUGAAGGUUGGUGUGUGUUCAGUAGCUUUAGCCUGUCGUUGCUCUCCUGUGUGCUGCUGGCUGCUCAACGCGUCUCCUUCUCUCUUCCUUUACAAAUGAGCCUUUUCUUUUCCAGCUGUGCUAAAUAGCCGUGUGGACAGAAGUACAGUUUGCAUUCCCGUCGCUGUUUGUCUUAUUA